UACAGAGGCCUCAAGCGUUUGUUCGGAUUUAUUGGGCGUAAAGGGUGCGUAGGCGGCGCGGUAAGUCGGGUGUGAAAUCUCGGAGCUUAACUCCGAAACUGCAUUCGAUACUGCCGUGCUUGAGGACUGGAGAGGCGAGUGGAAUUCCCGGUGUAGCGGUGAAAUGCGCAGAUAUCAGGAAGAACACCAAUGGCGAAAGCAGCUCUCUGGGACGGUACUGACGCUGAGACGCGAAAGCGU
rnacentral:rRNA from 1 species